CGCGAAGAACCUUACCUGGUCUUGACAUCCACAGAACUUUCCAGAGAUGGAUUGGUGCCUUCGGGAACUGUGAGACAGGUGCUGCAUGGCUGUCGUCAGCUCGUGUUGUGAAAUGUUGGGUUAAGUCCCGCAACGAGCGCAACCCUUAUCCUUUGUUGCCAGCGGUUAGGCCGGGAACUCAAAGGAGACUGCCAGUGAUAAACUGGAGGAAGGUGGGGAUGACGUCAAGUCAUCAUGGCCCUUACGACCAGGGCUACACACGUGCUACAAUGGCGCAUACAAAGAGAAGCGACCUCGCGAGAGCAAGCGGACCUCAUAAACUGCGUCGUAGUCCGGAUUGGAGUCUGCAACUCGACUCCAUGAAGUCGGAAUCGCUAGUAAUCGUAGAUCAGAAUGCUACGGU
rnacentral:rRNA from 1 species